AAUGAACGCUGGCGGCAGGCCUAACACAUGCCAGUCGAGCGAAGUCUUCGGACUUAGCGGCGGACGGGUGAGUAACGCGUGGGAACAUGCCCUUUGGUGCGGAAUCGCCCCGGGAAACUGGGAGUAAUACCGCAUGUGCCCUUCGGGGGAAAGAUUUAUCGCGAAAGGAUUGGCCCGCGUUGGAUUAGGUAGUUGGUGGGGUAAUGGCCUACCCAGCCGACGAUCCAUAGCUGGUUUGAGAGGAUGAUCAGCCACACUGGGACUGAGACACGGCCCAGACUCCUACGGGAGGGAGGAGUGGGGAAUCUUAGACAAUGGGCGCAAGCCUGAUCGAGCCAUGCCGCGGGAUCGAUGAAGGCCUUAGGGUUGUAAAGAUCUUUCAGUGGAGAAGAUAAUGACGGUACCCACAGAAGAAGCCCCGGCUAACUCCGUG
rnacentral:rRNA from 1 species